rnacentral:lncRNA from 1 species
GACUCUGCCAGAGCAUCCAAGCCAGAGUUCGAUCUGCUUCAGAACACUUCUUGUUUUCAAUGGCUGGAACAUCCUCUCUGGAGAUGACACCCCUCUUGGGUUAAAGUGUGUUCCUUAUUCUGUUGAAGAUGAUCGUUCUCAUUAGGAAUGAACUAUAGACACACAUGUCCGACUUCAAGCAGCAGUUACGACCUUGAAAUCACGAUGACUAGAAGACGUGGGAGCUCCUUCAUCUGGAUCAAAGCAGCCUGUCCUUCCGUGAUAAUGCAGUCCCUCCUCUCAACUUUCCUCAGGCCGAACCUCUCUGUGCCCCUUUGUCCAGCUGUCCAUCUCCGCCCCACCCUUCAGCUAAGUGACUCUGCGUGGCCUGAAUGUACCUUUUAUUCCUCAGUCUCUCCAGCUACAGACCGUUCCCCCGGAAUCUGUAGCAAAGAACCCACGCUUUAAGGAGCAGAUGUGUCCCCAUGAGGGUUGGAGGAGUCCCCUAAGAAAAUGAGUCCACGGCCCAAUUCUGUCCAAGCGCAGGACGGGGCAGGAGCAGGAAGCUGUCUGCAGGACCAUACACAGCGUCCUGGCCCACUUGUGGCCCUCCAGGGAAGCAGAUUUAAAGCAACAUCAGCUUCUAGGAAGGGGUUUGAACCCACCCAUGAGUCUCUGCUCCCUCCUCAAUCCCUACUGAAUUCAGCAGAGAAACAGAAGCCUAGGACAAAACUGUGCUGGCUGAAAACAGGGAAGGGUGAAAUCUCCAAGCCUGAGUUCUGGGGAAUUUCUGCAAAUUCCUCAGAUGAGGGCAGAAUGGCCGGGACAGCUGCAAAGUGAACACGUGUGAAAGAAAA